rnacentral:sRNA from 1 species
AUAUCCGGUGUCCGCCCGCCCUCGGCUCCGCCGCCGUGAUGCUGUCCCGGUCCCGCUGUGUAUCCCGGGCGUUCAGCCGCUCGCUCUCCGCCUUCCAGAAGGGGUCUCCUUAUGCCAGGGACCAGGUUACCCUAACAGCAGGAAGGUUGUCAUUAACAACAGUGUCUUCAGUGUUCGCUUUUUCAGAACUACAGCUGUAUGCAAGGAUGACUUGGUUACAGUCAAAACCCCAGCGUUUGCAGAAUCCGUCACAGAGGGAGAUGUCAGGUGGGAGAAAGCUGUUGGAGACACAGUUGCAGAAGAUGAAGUGGUUUGUGAGAUUGAAACUGACAAGACAUCUGUGCAGGUUCCAUCACCAGCAAAUGGCGUGAUUGAAGCUCUUUUGGUACCUGAUGGGGGAAAAGUCGAAGGAGGCACUCCACUUUUCACACUCAGGAAAACUGGUGGUAAAGAAGUUCUCCUGGUGGUCAAGGUCUCCAGUGUUCCCUCUUGGGAUUGGGACUGAGCAUAAUAUGCUAAUUCCCCGAUAUGUCAAAGACUCUGUCAUUCCAGCUGCCCUUAGUUGAG